UACGGGGGGGGCAAGCGUUGUUCGGAAUUACUGGGCGUAAAGGGCGCGUAGGCGGCCUGCUAAGUCGGAUGUGAAAUCCCUCGGCUCAACCGAGGAACUGCAUCCGAUACUGGCGGGCUGGAAUCCGGGAGAGGGAUGUGGAAUUCCAGGUGUAGCGGUGAAAUGCGUAGAUAUCAAGCGGAACACCGGUGGCGAAGGCGGCCUUCUGGACGAUGACUGACGCUGAGACGCGAAAGCGUGGGGAGCAAACGGG
rnacentral:rRNA from 1 species